CCUACGGGACGCAGCAGUGAGGAAUAUUGGUCAAUGGCCUGACGCCUGAACCAGCCAAGUCGCGUGAGGGAAGACUGCCCAAUGGAUUGUAAACUUCUUUUGUCAGGGAGCAAUUGGCGCUACGCGUAGCGUUAUCGAGAGUACCUGAAGAAAAAGCAUCGGCUAACUCCGUGCCAGCAGCCGCGGUAAUACGGAGGAUGCGAGCGUUAUCCGGAUUUAUUGGGUUUAAAGGGUGCGUAGGCGGAAUGUCAAGUCAGCGGUAAAA
rnacentral:rRNA from 1 species